rnacentral:rRNA from 1 species
AAAUCCGGUUGAUCCUGCCGGAGGCUACCGCUAUUGGAGUUCGAUUAAGCCAUGCGAGUCUAGAGGCCUAGCCUCGGCGUACCGCUCAGUAACACGUGGGUAACCUACCCUAUGCUGGGGAAUAAGCUCGGGAAACUGAGAAUAAUACCCCAUAGUCCACUACGCCUGGAACGGUGAGUGGAUGAAAGCUCCGGCGGCAUAGGAUGGGCCUGCGGCGUAUCAGGUUGUAGGGGGUGUAACGUACCCUCUAGCCAUCCACGCGUACGGGUGUUGGGAGACAUUGCCCGGAGAUGGAUUCUGAGACACGAAUCCAGACCCUACGGGGUGCAGCAGGCGCGAAA